AUUGAACGCUGGCGGCAGGCUUAACACAUGCAAGUCGAGCGGGGUGAUGGUGCUUGCACUAUCACUUAGCGGCGGACGGGUGAGUAAUGCUUAGGAAUCUGCCUAUUAGUGGGGGACAACAUCUCGAAAGGGAUGCUAAUACCGCAUACGUCCUACGGGAGAAAGCAGGGGAUCACUUGUGACCUUGCGCUAAUAGAUGAGCCUAAGUCGGAUUAGCUAGUUGGUGGGGUAAAGGCCUACCAAGGCGACGAUCUGUAGCGGGUCUGAGAGGAUGAUCCGCCACACGGGGACUGAGACACGGCCCAGACUCCUACGGGAGGCAGCAGUGGGGAAUAUUGGACAAUGGGGGGAACCCUGAUCUAGCCAUGCCGCGUGUGUGAAGAAGGCCUUAUGGUUGUAAAGCACUUUAAGCGAGGAGGAGGCUCUUUUGGUUAAUACCCAAGAUGAGUGGACGUUACUCGCAGAAUAAGCACCGGCUAACUCUGUGCCAGCAGCCGCCGUAA
rnacentral:rRNA from 1 species